GCUAGCACCCUAUCUGAAAUAGAACAGUCACUCAGUAAAAUUCUGUUGAACUAAGUAACCCCACGCUAUCCUAUCUGAAAUAGAACAGUCACUCAAUAAAAUUUUGUUAAACCAAGUAACCCCACACUAUCCUAUCUGAAAUGGAAUAGUCACUCAAUAAAAUUGUGUUGAACUAAGUAACCCCACGCUAUAACCUAUAGAGGGAGUAAAAGAAAGUCACUCUUACCUAUAGCAGGAGCUGAAAGAAAACCACAGGGACUGUUAACCUAUAGGGGAAGCUGAAAGAAAAUCGCAAGGAAAUGAACCUAUAGGAGAAGCUGAAAGUAAAUCUCUGGGAAAUGUUAACCACACACUUUCACCUCUAGGAGGAGGGUGAAGCUUCUUUUCUUCCAGACAUUCCCGAGGAAAAGUUGCACGAGGAGUCUGGCAAGGAGUGCCACCCUUUGCUGCCUUCACCAGUGAGCACAAAGCCACAUUUCAAAAGAAACUGACAAAUUAUACCCAGCUGCCAGAAGGAGAAAUCCUCACUGGACGGCUUCCUGUUUCCUGUGGUUCA
rnacentral:lncRNA from 13 species